rnacentral:rRNA from 1 species
AUGUCAAUGUGUUUUACCGAUGAGUACAACGUACGCAGACCUAUGGAUGAGAGAAAACCUACAGGUCUAUCCCUCAGCGUCUCAGCAAACAUAUGCACGGUGCCAUGUUUUAUUUGCACAACCACAACUUCGAUAAUUGCUCUUCAUCUUCAAGUCUCUUACAAACACCUUCACCACCUCGCUUUCGUGGCAGAGUUCCCAUUCCUCAUUUUCCUGGCAAAUCAGAAAACAGAGAGCAAGUACGAGAUUACUGGUGAACUAAACUUGCAAUUAGAAAGAAAAAAGAUCAAUUUUCCCUACCAAAAAUAUCAGAUUCUUCACACUUGGUGA